UUUUAAAAUGAUUAUAUUUAAACUACAGAUAAUUCUGAAACCAAACACGUAGUGUGUUUGAAGAUUAAAAAGUUCAGUCAUAUCGCAAGCCUAUUAUCGAAGAGCUUUCACCUAAAACACUUCAAAUGAAAAUCUGGGAACGACUGAAUAACAGUUUCGAAAAUUAAACUGCCACCUUCAUCGACGAUUUUGGAAUCUUAUACAUAUGUUUGGGGCAAUGGAGGAAAUUUACAAAGCAUAAGACGAUACGUUGGGAGAAGCUUUCUUUACCAACGACCGCGCCAUGCAUCGAUCGCCGUUCGAAGGUGCAGAAUUGCCGACAGUCGACGGAAAGAAGGUGGGUAAUAAUCGGGACGACAGUCAAGAGUCCAAAUAUCGUUGACCAACAAUAGUCACAUGUGAAGUUCGAGAAUUCUUCACUGCGCAGCAUUUCUGCGUCACAGAUCCGGAGAAGAUAGGGAUCAUAAGAUAAUAACGACGAAACAUGAAAUAAUAAAUUGUAGUUGCAGGAGUAAUUUUAUACAUUGGCGUAAUAACGACGAGACACGAGCAAGAUUUCCUCAAAAAAGUGGAUCAAACUAUUCGAGAAAUACGCGACGAAAUGAUUUGGUUACAGAUCCAUCGGAAUUUCGAAUGAAUCGUAUAGCAGUUCAAGUAUACUUCCAACGAUUCUGAUACCUCAGGUAUUGGAUUUUCGAUGAUUGAAUUGACUCGUGUUACGGACUCGAAGUCACUGCUUUCACCUAUUCAAAAAUGAACACUUUGAAUAAUUUUACAAGUCGAAUCCAUAUAAUUCAAUACCUUUAUUAUCGUUGAAUACUUGACAUGAGAGUAUUUCAUUCAUAAUCAAGUUAUAUAACAGACAAGUUGAGAAGAAAUCGUGGUACAGAUAUUUUAACUGACGGCAUACUAUAAUACGAUAAUAUGAUGCGACGUAGAAUUAUUG